UGCUGUGUGGCAUGGUGGUUGAGCAUUGGAUUACAACUCUGGAGACCAGGGUUCAAUUUCCAGCUCGGCCA